AAUGUUAAGGAGACCAUUCUGCACAAACUGGAGUAUGGAUAUCAGUGUGCCGAAAUGCUUCUGCUACAUU
rnacentral:pre_miRNA from 9 species